GACAGAGGGGACAAGCGUUGCUCGGAAUUACUGGGCGUAAAGGGCGCGUAGGCGGGAUGGCAAGUCGGUCGUGAAAUCCCUCGGCUCAACCGAGGAACGUCGAUCGAUACUGCUGUUCUUGAGGAUUGCAGAGGAGACUGGAAUUCCCGGUGUAGCGGUGAAAUGUGUAGAGAUCGGGAGGAACACCGGUGGCGAAGGCGGGUCUCUGGGCAAUUCCUGACGCUGAGGCGCGAAAGCCAGGGGAGCAAACGGG
rnacentral:rRNA from 1 species